GGGUGAAAAACUUUUGAUUGAAAAUGCAUAUUUAGCUCCUAUAUGAACCUAGAGAUGGCGCUUUCACUACUUUAUAAAAUGGCGUGACGUUUGUUAUGUUUCAGUGAAUUUAAAACAUUAAAACAAAGAAUUAAACCAAUUUCUUGCUGUAUGAUACUGGCUAUGAAAAGUGGGGAGACUUUAGACAUUUCAUAAUUACGAGGGGUUUAAAAUCAUCUCGAGGAAGAAGGAGGAGAAAGAAAAAGAAGGCGAAGAAGAAGACGACGACGAUGUUGACGAAGACGAAGAAGAAGGAGAGGAAAACGAAGAAAAAAACCAACAGAUACAAUCUGCGAAACAUCUGCACUGAUGAGGCCCAUCGUAAUAACGAGCCACAGUGUACCAGUAGCGGCGACUAUGAGACAUCGCAGGCAAAGAUUAAUAUUGUCAUGUUAUGAAGACUCCUGUGUUGGGUGGACAGGUAUUGAGCAAGGCAUAUCAGAGAGAGAAGAGGAAUAAUUGGUGCCAAUGUGCAAGGUGAAGACAUAAAGCUGGGAUUGGAGCAUGCUAACUUUUUGGACAGGAGACCCGGGACAGGAGAGGAGCCCAGGACAGGACAGGAGACUGAGGACAGGACAGGAGCGCCAACUACCAUUUAUUGAGAAGCUGCAAACACUGCCACUCCUGAGUACUAGCGCGUGCCAGCCCACUUAUGUACUAGGUUUUCGUCAAGCUGACAGAAGUUGUAAGUGUGUAAAUCAUUGAUGCUAGAGCUGUUGUAUAAAUGCACAUUGUUAAAGUCAAGUUGUCUUGCUACCGUGUGUGCAUCGUUACUCAAAUGCAAAGUCGUGUUUUUCAUUGAGUUCGGUUUUUAGACUUCAGCUAUUCAGUAAACGAAAUAGUUUAACAGAUUUUUAGCUCAUCUGACAUAGUCAGAUGCAGCUUGUAGAAUCGCAUGAUCGU